rnacentral:rRNA from 1 species
AUUGAACGCUGGCGGUAUGCCUUACACAUGCAAGUCGAACGGCAGCACGGGAGCAAUCCUGGUGGCGAGUGGCGAACGGGUGAGUAAUGUAUCGGAACGUACCUUUCAGUGGGGGAUAACGUAGCGAAAGUUACGCUAAUACCGCAUAUUCUGUGAGCAGGAAAGCAGGGGAUCGCAAGACCUUGCGCUGAUUGAGCGGCCGAUAUCAGAUUAGCUAGUUGGUGAGGUAAAGGCUCACCAAGGCGACGAUCUGUAGCGGGUCUGAGAGGAUGAUCCGCCACACUGGAACUGAGACACGGUCCAGACUCCUACGGGAGGCAGCAGUGGGGAAUUUUGGACAAUGGGCGCAAGCCUGAUCCAGCCAUGCCGCGUGAGUGAAGAAGGCCUC